AUUGAACGCUGGCGGCAUGCCUUACACAUGCAAGUCGAACGGCAGCACGGGAGCAAUCCUGGUGGCGAGUGGCGAACGGGUGAGUAAUAUAUCGGACCGUGCCCAGUCGUGGGGGAUAACGCAGCGAAAGCUGUGCUAAUACCGCAUACGAUCUAAGGAUGAAAGCGGGGGAUCGCAAAACCUCGCCCGAAUUGAGCUCCCCAUAUCAGAUUCGCGAGUUGGGGGGGUAAAGGCCCACAAAGGGGACGAUCUGUAGCUGGUCUGAGAGGACGGCCAGCCACACUGGAGCUGAGACACGGUCCAGACUCCUACGGGAGGCAGCAGUGGGGAAUUUUGGACAAUGGGCGCAAGCCUGAUCCAGCAAUGCCGCGUGCAGGAUGAAGGCCUUCGGGUUGUAAACUGCUUUUGUACGGAACGAAACGGCCCUUUCUAAUACAGGGGGCUAAUGACGGUACCGUAAGAAUAAGCACCGGCUAACUACGUGCCAGCAGCCGCGGUAA
rnacentral:rRNA from 1 species